rnacentral:snRNA from 1 species
GGAUGUGAGGGUGAUCUGGCUGCAACAUCUGUCACAUCAUUGAUCGCCAUAGUUGAUUUGGCUGAUCUGGCUGGCUAGGCAGGUGUCCCCUUCCUCCCUCACUGCUCCAUAUGCGUCCUUCCCAAAGCUGUGUGCUCCAUUGAAGAGGACAACCAUCUCCGACAGAGGGACAGAGAAGGACCGGUCUUCGGUCAAGGAUAUACAAGUAACUGUGCUCCCUUGCUAGAACCUCCAAACAAGCUUUCAAAUACCUAUGUGGGUCGUGGAUCGCUUGUAGCUAAGAUUUCAGAGGUCCGUGGUGGGAGUGUGUUGCCCUGCAGUUCUU